GACAGAGGGUGCAAACGUUGUUCGGAAUUACUGGGCGUAAAGCGCGUGUAGGCGGCUCGGAAAGUCGGAUGUGAAAGCCCUGGGCUUAACCUAGGAAGUGCAUUCGAAACUCUCGGGCUUGAGUUCUGGAGAGGAAGGCGGAAUUCUCGGUGUAGAGGUGAAAUUCGUAGAUAUCGAGAGGAACACCGGUGGCGAAGGCGGCCUUCUGGACAGUGACUGACGCUGAGACGCGAAAGCGUGGGGAGCAAACAGG
rnacentral:rRNA from 1 species